AUUGAACGCUGGCGGCAGGCCUAACACAUGCAAGUCGAGCGAGCGGCGGACGGGUGAGUAAUGUCUGGGAAACUGCCUGAUGGCGGGGGAUAACUACUGGAAACGGUAGCUAAUACCGCAUACCAUCAGAUGUGCCCAUAUGGGAUUAGCUUGUAGGUGGGGUAACGGCUCACCUGGGAGACGAUCCCUAGCUGGUCUGAGAGGAUGACCAGCCACCCUGGAACUGAGCCACGUGCCAGAGGCCUACGGGAGGCAGCAGUGGGGAAUAUUGCACAAUGGGCGCAAGCCUGAUGCAGCAAUGCCGCGUGUGUGAAGUAGGCCUUCGGGUUGUAAAGCACUUUCAGCGGGGAGGCGUUACCCGCAGAAGAAGCACCGGCUAACUCCGUGCCAGCAGCCGCGGUAAUUC
rnacentral:rRNA from 1 species